UAAAAAGGCAUUUUUUUUAAACACUCUGUAUAGUUUGGGUGUAAAAAUCAUAUAUAUAUGUGUGUGUGUGUGUGUGUGUGUGUGUGGAGGAGUCCUGGGCACUGAGGCCCAUCCAAGCUCAGAAACCCAGAUGUCAAAUACAACAGAAUUCCAGCCACAAAAGAGCAAAUCAGAGCAAAAUCUGCAAUCAAAAUCUGAUGAAAGAGUCAGGCAGGGCCCCAGAAGCGGUGUUCUGUGAGGGAUGGCUGAAAGGAAAGCGGGAAAAAAGCACCAAAAGGUGAAGAACUGGAGGAAUACAGAGGUCUUCUGCUGAGGGUGUGAAGAUUGAACUCCUCCACAUUCCUCCCUUGGGAGCAAGGACAGAGUGAAAUGAAGCUCAGAGAUGUCCACUUUCUGCACUCGGUGGCUGGCUACAACAUAAGUCUUCGCACAGGAUUUAGAGGUGAAAGAAGUUGCGCUCGAAGCUUCAUUACACCGCUUUGAUGCUGAAGUAAGAAUUCCCACAGCGAAGAUGGACAGAGCAAGACUGACAGAACCAGCCACAUUUUCAUUAUUAAUAUCAGAACUGCACGCAGUCGGAAAGCAGAAAGGACUGAAGAAUUUCAUAGCCCAAAUACCUACAGAAUAAUAAUAAUAAAAUCCCAGAGUGUCACAGUACAGCCCAAUGUGCCUUUUGGAAAUGCUGCCAUUCCAGAUAGCAGGGGAAACACAAAUCCAGCCCAGUUACCAUGGAAAUGUACAGUAUACCUCCAAAAUGCAAAGCCACCUGGCUGACCCAGAGAACUUCUUUGAGAUGAGCAUGGUAGCCCAAUAGCAAACAGCUGUCAAACAUCUCUGUGAUGACAGACUGCAUGGAAAGCAGAAGCCAGCACCACCAUCAGCUUAGUGAGCUGGAGAUGACCCAGCAAUCCUUUUCUUACACAACCCACCAAAGCUACUGCUACAACCAGUGGAGCUGGUUUUAGCAAGAGUGGAAGAUCUGUGGAGGGAAAGGAAAUGCUCAGAAGCCAAACAAUCUAAUGCAGCAUCUGAAAUGGUGCUGCAUGUCUUUUCAGUUAAAUGACUCUCAAUGCAAUGUUCACCCAGGGGUGUAUUUGUUGAUGGGACAGAGACUUAGGAAAAUGGCACUGGAAAGAAAUCAUCUCCUUGAGCAUCCUGCGGUGCCCAGCAGGAGAGGCCCCAACUGCCUCGUGCCUCGAAGUGGGCGCUGCUGUGCCCACCAGGAACAGGGCAGCCAUCUCAGCGCCAAAGCCAUCCCCACCUCCCACCGGCUGGAUCCAAGCCUGAUCCUGGGCAGCAGUUACACGGUCAGGGCUGCUCUGCUCAGAAACCAACACGAGACAUUACAAAAGGAUUUUUCUGAAGAUGUAAAACAGCACCCAGGGAACAACUCAGGAAGGAGGCAUCGAGAACUAAAAUGCUGGAAUUUGGGAAAGUCUCCAAAACCUCAGAAUUUCAUAUAUAUUUGGUAUAGUAAGUGUAGCAGUGAAUUUAAAUCUCAUUAUCCGUUGCUGCUAAAAACAGGAAUGUAACUGAAAGUUUUGGGCAAUUCCAGCAUCCAUCAUCAGUACUCAGGCAUAGGCCUGAUUUCUCUGAGACUCUGAAGUAAUUUAAUACUGUGGAUUUUAUAAAGUAUACUUAUCCUUCAAUAAAUCCGUAAUAACUGCUUCUUUCAUUGCAUAUUAUGAACUUCCAAGUUACACUGUCAGCUGUUAAGCAGAGUCUCCCACACUUUAGUGAAAGCAAGAAAGCUUCCAGCAAGGAAGUGUCAUGGAGAUGAGGCACUAAUGGACUCCACAGAACCACAGACUGGUUGAGGUGGGCAGGGACCAGAGGGAUUCCUCCACUCCAGCUCCAC
ensembl:lncRNA